rnacentral:rRNA from 1 species
ACUCCUACGGGAGGCAGCAGUAGGGAAUCUUCCACAAUGGACGAAAGUCUGAUGGAGCAACGCCGCGUGAGUGAAGAAGGGUUUCGGCUCGUAAAACUCUGUUGUUAAAGAAGAACAUAUCUGAGAGUAACUGUUCCAGGUAUUGACGGUAUUUAACCAGAAAGCCACGGCUAACUACGUGCCAGCAGCCGCGGUAAUACGUAGGUGGCAAGCGUUGUCCGGAUUUAUUGGGCGUAAAGCGAGCGCAGGCGGUUUUUAAGUCUGAUGUGAAAGCCUUCGGCUCAACCGAAGAAGUGCAUCGGAAACUGGGAAACUUGAGUGCAGAAGAGGACAGUGGAACUCCAUGUGUAGCGGUGAAAUGCGUAGAUAUAUGGAAGAACACCAGUGGCGAAGGCGGCUGUCUGGUCUGUAACUGACGCUGAGGCUCGAAAGUAUGGGUAGCAAACAGGAUUAGAUACCCUGGUAGGAUAGCG